rnacentral:rRNA from 1 species
AUUGAACGCUGGCGGCAGGCCUAACACAUGCAAGUCGAGCGGUUGAGGUAGCUUGCUACCGAUGCAGCGGCGAACGGGUGAGUAAUACAUGGGAAUCUGCCUGGUAGUGGGGGACAACGUUUCGACAGGAACGCUAAUACCGCAUACGCCCUACGGGGGCAAGGGGGGGAUCUUCGGACCUCUCGCUAUCAGAUGAGCCCAUGUCAGAUUAGCUUGUUGGUGAGGUAAAGGCUCACCAAGGCGACGAUCUGUAACUGGUCUGAGAGGAUGAUCAGUCACACUGGAACUGAGACACGGUCCAGGCUCCUACGGGAGGCAGCAGUGGGGAAUAUUGGACAAUGGGGGCAACCCUGAUCCAGCCAUGCCGCGUGUGUGAAGAAGGCCUUAGGGUUGUAAAGCACUUUCAGUGGGGAGAAAGGUGAUUCACCUAAUACGUGAGUCAAUUGAUGUUACCCACAGAAGAAGCACCGGCUAACUCCGUGCCAGCCGCCGCAGUAAUAC